CACAUGUCAAGCUGAUGCAGGAAAAGAUCUGAAAGGCGUUUGUUCACUGGGGCUUGCUCUCUUUGGCCGUGGCUGGCAUCCCAGACCACAGCGGAAAGCUUACAGAAGGCAAUGUUGCUACAACCGCAGCCACUAGACACAUAAAUAAAGCCACUUUGGACAACCCAGACCCUGCUCACCAGACAGACAGUUGUAGGCUCAUCAGUGAACCCAGAAGACUCCAACAGAACUGCGCAGCUGAGUCAGCCUAGAUUGCCCAUCCUCCGAGUCGUGAGCAAGCCUCCUGGGGCUACCUCCAAGUUCGGGGUUCCUUCUGAGCCGAGUGAACUGUUUGUCUGACCUGCUCAUACCCGAUAUCCCAGGAUCCUUUGGCCUCGUCUCCUUCCGCGACCUUCACUGGGCACAAGUUCAGAUAAUUCCACACGCAUUGGGAAAGGAAGUGCUUGGGUUUGGCACCUCAGCAGUGCCCUUUGGCCCAGUGUACCAAGCCGACAGUGCAACAAGGUGGCUUAUCCACCUGGGACCUUUGGACUUCCACUCUUUCUGAGGGAGUCAGAUCAGGAAAUGGAUGUGGAAUGGCUUUUUACACUUGAAGACAGAAGUUAUGUGAGCAUCACAAUGACCAGUGGCUGCUUCAGUUUCAAUAGAGAUGCAUUUGAGCUUUCAGAAAUGGGUUCAGUGCCAAGCUGGGUCAUUGACUAGUACUUGCUCCAAAAACCUCCAAUUCUUCUGUGUGUGUGUGUGUGUGUGUGUGUGUGUGUGUGUGUGUGUGUGUGUAGAUCAGAGAUCACCCUUAUGUACCAUCUAUCCUGUUUUGAUUUUUAAAUUACAUUUAUUGAUUUGUU